AAGUCGUAACAAGGUUUCCGUAGGUGAACCUGCGGAAGGAUCAUUACCACAUCCAAAAUCUUUUAACAACCCACAAGUGUGAAGCUAUGAUGAGGAACCUUUUCUUCUUCAUUUUGAACCCCUUUUGAACUCGAUAGUGAAUAAGCAAGACUAACAAAAAAAUGAGAAAAGAGAAAACAACUUUUAACGGUGGAUCUCUUGGCUCGU
rnacentral:misc_RNA from 1 species